AUCUUAUUAUACACUGAACCUAGGCGUGUACCUACAGAAGAAGGGUGGACACCAUGAGUUUAACAAGGUAAUAUCUUAUAUACACUGAACCUAGGCGUGUACCUACAGAAGAAGGGUGGACACCAUGAUUUUAACCAGGUAAUAUCUUAUAUACACUGAACCUAGGCAUGUACCUACAGAAGAAGGGUGGACACCAUGAGUUUAACCAGGUAAUAUCUUAUUAUACACUGAACCUAGGCGUGUACCUACAGAAGAAGGGUGGACACCAUGAGUUUAACCAGGUAAUAUCUUAUAUACACUGAACCUAGGUGUGUACCUACAGAAGAAGGGUGGACACCAUGAGUUUAACCAGGUAAUAUCUUAUAUGCACUGAACCUAGGUGUGUACCUACAGAAGAAGGGUGGACACCAUGAGUUUAACCAGGUAAUAUCUUAUUAUACACUGAACCUAGGCGUGUACCUACAGAAGAAGGGUGGACACCAUGAGUUUAACCAGGUAAUAUCUUAUAUACACUGAACCUAGGCGUGUACCUACAGAAGAAGGGUGGACACCAUGAGUUUAACCAGGUAAUAUCUUAUAUACACUGAACCUAGGCAUGUACCUACAGAAGAAGGGUGGACACCAUGAGUUUAACCAGGUAAUAUCUUAUUAUACACUGAACCUAGGCAUGUACCUACAGAAGAAGGGUGGACACCAUGAGUUUAACCAGAUAAUAUCUUAUAUACACUGAACCUAGGCGUGUACCUACAGAAGAAGGGUGGACACCAUGAGUUUAACCAGGUAAUAUCUUAUAUACACUGAACCUAGGCGUGUACCUACAGAAGAAGGGUGGACACCAUGAGUUUAACCAGGUAAUAUCUUAUAUACACUGAACCUAGGCGUGUACCUACAGAAGAAGGGUGGACACCAUGAGUUUAACCAGGUAAUGUCUUAUAUACACUGAACCUAGGCGUGUACCUACAGAAGAAGGGUGGACACCAUGAGUUUAACCAGGUAAUAUCUUAUAUACGCUGAACCUAGGCGUGUACCUAUAGAAGAAGGGUGGACACCAUGAGUUUAACCAGGUAAUAUCUUAUAUACACUGAACCUAGGCGUGUACCUACAGAAGAAGGGUGGACACCAUGAGUUUAACCAGGUAAUAUCUUAUAUACGCUGAACCUAGGCGUGUACCUAUAGAAGAAGGGUGGACACCAUGAGUUUAACCAGGUAAUAUCUUAUAUACACUGAACCUAGGCGUGUACCUACAGAAGAAGGGUGGACACCAUGAGUUUAACCAGGUAAUAUCUUAUAUACACUGAACCUAGGCGUGUACCUACAGAAGAAGGGUGGACACCAUGAGUUUAACCAGGUAAUAUCUUAUUAUACACUGAACCUAGGCGUGUACCUACAGAAGAAGGGUGGACACCAUUAGUUUAACCAGGUAAUAUCUUAUUAUACACUGAACCUAGGCGUGUACCUAUAGAAGAAGGGUGGACACCAUGAGUUUAACCAGGUAAUAUCUUAUAUACACUGAACCUAGGCGUGUUCCUACAGAAGAAGGGUGGACACCAUGAGUUUAACCAGGUAAUAUCUUAUAUACACUGAACCUAGGCGUGUACCUACAGAAGAAGGGUGGACACCAUGAGUUUAACCAGGUAAUAUCUUAUAUACACUGAACCUAGGCGUGUACCUACAGAAGAAGGGUGGACACCAUGAGUUUAACCAGGUAAUAUCUUAUAUACACUGAACCUAGGCGUGUACCUACAGAAGAAGGGUGGACACCAUGAGUUUAACCAGGUAAUGUCUUAUAUACACUGAACCUAGGCAUGUACCUACAGAAGAAGGGUGGACACCAUGAGUUUAACCAGGUAAUAUCUUAUAUACACUGAACCUAGGCGUGUACCUACAGAAGAAGGGUGGACACCAUGAGUUUAACCACGUAAUAUCUUAUUAUACACUGAACCUAGGAGUGUACCUACAGAAGAAGGGUGGACACCAUGAGUUUAACCAGGUAAUAUCUUAUAUACACUGAACCUAGGCGUGUACCUACAGAAGAAGGGUAGACACCAUUAGUUUAACCAGGUAAUAUCUUAUAUACACUGAACCUAGGCGUGUACCUACAGAAGAAGAGUGGACACCAUGAGUUUAACCAGAUAAUAUCUUAUAUACACUGAACCUAGGCGUGUACCUACAGAAGAAGGGUGGACACCAUGAGUUUAACCAGGUAAUAUCUUAUAUACACUGAACCUAGGCGUGUACCUACAGAAGAAGGGUGGACACCAUGAGUUUAACCAGGUAAUAUCUUAUAUACACUGAACCUAGGCGUGUACCUACAGAAGAAGGGUAGACACCAUUAGUUUAACCAGGUAAUAUCUUAUAUACACUGAACCUAGGCGUGUACC